GCUUUGCCUACCAUCUCUUACCCAUGUCUUUUGAGUACCUUCGUUUCCUCGGCGGGUCCGCCCGCCGAUUGGACAAACUUAAACCCUUUGUAAUUGAAAUCAGCGUCUGAAAAAACAUAAUAGUUAC
rnacentral:misc_RNA from 1 species